rnacentral:rRNA from 1 species
GACGAACGCUGGCGGCGUGCUUAACACAUGCAAGUCGAACGGUGAAGGGACUGGUUUUUGCUGGUUCUGGAUGAGUGGCGAACGGGUGAGUAACACGUGAGUAACCUGCCCCCUUCUUCUGGAUAACCGCAUGAAAGUGUGGCUAAUACGGGAUAUUCUGCGCCUGCUGCAUGGUGGGUGUGGGAAAGAUAUUGUUUCGGUGGGGGAUGGGCUCGCGGCCUAUCAGCUUGUUGGUGGGGUGAUGGCCUACCAAGGCGGUGACGGGUAGCCGGCCUGAGAGGGUGGACGGUCACACUGGGACUGAGACACGGCCCAGACUCCUACGGGAGGCAGCAGUGGGGAAUAUUGCACAAUGGGCGCAAGCCUGAUGCAGCGACGCCGCGGGAGGGAUGGAGGCCUGCGGGUUGUAAACCUCUUUCGCCAGUGAAGCAGGCCUGUCCCUUUUGUGGGUGGGUUGACGGUAGCUGGAUAAGAAGCGCCGGCUAACUACGUG